GAAGAUGAAAAACUUCUCGAAAACUCUGAUGCCUGAGCAGGUCAGACAAAUUGUACAUGAUUUUGAUCUCCUCACAUUUGUCGACUAUUCACUUACCAUGCUUGACACUUCACUUCUUACAGCUUUUAUUGAGCGAUGACACAAGGAGGCAUCUUCCUUUCAUCCUCCAUUUGAAGAGAUGAUUGUCACUUUCGAUGAUGUCUCUUCAUUGUUCCAUAUCCCCAUCACCGACAAAUUCUUUACAGCUAUUGUUAUUAGCUCGUCUCUUGCAUGUUUGUCUGAUGUACGAGAUUUGGAGUUUCUGAUGAGGUCGUGUUGGAGGAGUUUGACUUUAACAGUGGCGCUUACCUUCGUAUUUCUU
rnacentral:lncRNA from 1 species